CAAGUCGAACGAGAAAGUUCCUUCGGGAAACCAGUAAAGUGGCGCAAGGGUGAGUAACACGUGAAUAAUCUGCCUAUGAAUUCGGGAUAACUCGACGAAAGUUGCGCUAAUACCGGAUAAGACCACACCUCUUAUGGGGAGUGGCCAAAGGAGUCUAAAACUUCGUUUAUAGAUGAGUUCGCGGACCAUUAGCUAGUUGGAGGAUAAUACGCCCCCAAGGCUACGAUGGUUAGCCGGCCUGAGAGGGCGAUCGGCCACACUGGAACUGACACACGGUCCAGACUCC
rnacentral:rRNA from 2 species